AUCUUGUAAAACAAAGGUACACCAAAUACCAGAAAUGGUUUAUUCAGAUACAGUCCUUCGCUUUCUUAGCUGAGAGUUAGAUGAAAAGAUUGCUACCACUUAAAUGUAUGCAUGAUAUAGAAUAACUUUCUCUGGACUGUGCCCAACCAAGAAGUAGUAACAUAAUCCCUGUGAAACCAUGACUCAAGGAUCUAACAUAGGAGUUAUAACAUAUUAAAGGAAUAUUUCACUGCUGGAAAGAUGGUAAUUUCAUAAAAUUGCAUCGUCUAUGCAGUCAAAAGAUGCAAAUAUUUUUGAAACUGGUGCUACAUGACCACAGAAAACAAAGAAAAGGGGCUGUGGGAUUCCCUUUUGUUCAAAAGGUAGAAAACCUAACAACCAGAAUGUUGCCUGUCAAGGUCACUUCCACUCCCAAACUUCCCUAACUCUACAGUCAGUGCCAGUGAUUGUUCUAGCCAGUUGAUUUUGGACAUGAUGUUUGAGGUGCUGCCCCUGACUGUCUGUGGAGACCAGCAUACAAAGAAUGCGGAAGUACAAUCUGUAGUACGAAGAAUAGCCCUAGAGCUGUCAAAAGCCAGGCGGCGUCAUCUGGCAGAUUUGACGUCAAAUGGACAGGGAGAUCAGGGUGCAGGCAACUGUUCAUUGCAUUUACUAGCCCACCUACACUAUAAUGAUACAAAGAUGGUUAAAAAUCAGCAAAGCUUCUCUGUAAUUAGUGUGUGUUAAAGGUGCUGGUAGGUGUUGUUACCUUCAGCCAGGCUAUCUGUUUCCCACUUUCAAGUACAGUGGUGAGAUGCGACGGUACAAGAUCUUUCUGGGUAAUGACCAGAAACAGGAACUGCCCUGUUAUGCUGCUAUGAACCAGUGUUCAGUUCAGGUACCAGCGCUGUGUUUGUCUCCUGGUCGUCGCCAGGGAACAAACAUUGGUCAGCAUCUGGAGGAAAACUGCUGCAUUAUGUGUUAGAAUGGACACGUGUACCUGCACCUGUAUCUGUAUCUGUACUAUGGCAAAAACUGGCCAAAGAUCAAAACAACACAUCCAUCACAGGUCUGACUGCAGGUGUGAGGUACAGUAUCUCUCUGUACGCUGUGACCACCAGAGGUGUUAGUGCUCCAUCUUCCGGUCUGGUCUACUCCAAAGAACAGAAGCCAGGAUCCAGUCCCAAAAUGUCAAUACUGGUCCACAAAGCCAGGCGAGCUGCCUGUAGACCAGCAGAGAGGCUUCAUCACACACUACACCAUCUAUCUCCAGAUACUGGACUCCAACAACUCAGAAGUCAGCGGCGAGAUUAAAAUCUUUCAACAUCAGAGUUCAUCAUGUGAUAGAUUUUGUAUAUUUCUCAUAUAUAGGCCUAUAGUAAGUCUACAGUCAUCAUCUGUCACC